rnacentral:sRNA from 1 species
AGUAGAGACGGGGUUUCACCGUGUUAGCUAGGAUGGUCUCGAUCUCCUGAUCUCAUGAUCUGCCUGCCUCGGCCUCCCAAAGUGCUGGGAUUACAGGCGUGAGCCACCGCGCCCGGCCUCCCCCAUUUCUUUCUCUUCAUAAUUCUCAUCACUAUCUGUCCAUUUCUCUGGGCCGGUGGUGCUGUCCACGUGGCUGUUGAAGUCUCCCACAGAUUGCAGGAGCUGAGAUGGACAGCCUGCGGUGAAUGCUGUGCGGUACCUGCAGGGCAUGAAGGAAACCGCCUGAGAUGCAGGCAGAUAGAUAACCCCACAGAGGAGAAGGAGAAGGCAGGGGUUUUGCAAAGUGAAGAAGAAAGAGAAUGUUACAAUCAGAUGGCUUGAAUCUAAAGAAAUCUACAAUCAGUUGGGGAUGUUCUGGUGUUCCUGGACAGCCACUGUGAGGUGAACAGAGUAUGGCUGGAGCCCCUGCUGCAUGCCAUUGCCAAGGACCCCAAAAUGGUGGUGUGCCCCUUGAUAGAUGUCAUUGAUGAUAGAACUCUGGAGUAUAAGCCCUCUCCUCUUGUAAGGGGAACUUUUGAUUGGAACCUACAAUUUAAAUGGGAUAAUGUUUUCUCUUAUGAGAUGGAUGGACCAGAAGGACCUACUAAACCAAUCCAGUCACCUGCAAUGUCUGGAGGAAUUUUUGCUAUACGUCGGCAUUAUUUUAAUGAAAUUGGACAGUAUGACAAGGAUAUGGAUUUUUGGGGAGGAGAAAGUUUGGAACUUUCAGUAAGG